UCCAGAUUAGCUCAGCGGUAGAGUAGGCGGCUGUUAACCGCUUGGUCGUAGGUUCCAAUCCUACAUCUGGAACCA
rnacentral:tRNA from 1 species